UCCAGACUCCUACGGGAGGCAGCAGUGGGGGAUAUUGCACAAUGGGGGGAACCCUGAUGCAGCGACGCCGCGUGGGUGAAGGAGCGUUUCGGCGCGUAAAGCCCUAUCGGCAGGGAAGAAGGAGGACGGUACCUGACUAAGAAGCCCCGGCUAACUACGUGCCAGCAGCCGCGGUAAUACGUAGGGGGCAAGCGUUAUCCGGAUUUACUGGGUGUAAAGGGGGCGCAGACGGCAGCGCAAGCCAGGAGUGAAAGCCCGGGGCCCAACCCCGGGACUGCUCUUGGAACUGCGCGGCUGGAGUGCAGGAGGGGCAGGCGGAAUUCCUGGUGUAGCGGUGAAAUGCGUAGAUAUCAGGAGGAACACCGGUGGCGAAGGCGGCCUGCUGGACUGCGACUGACGUUGAGGCCCGAAAGCGUGGGGAGCAAACAGGAUUAGAUACCCGAGUAAA
rnacentral:rRNA from 1 species